CCUACGGGCGGCAGCAGUGGGGGAUAUUGCACAAUGGGGGAAACCCUGAUGCAGCGACGCCGCGUGGGCGAAGAAGUAUUUCGGUAUGUAAAGCCCUAUCAGCAGGGAAGAAGAAAUGACGGUACCUGAGUAAGAAGCACCGGCUAAAUACGUGCCAGCAGCCGCGGUAAUACGUAAGGUGCAAGCGUUAUCCGGAUUUACUGGGUGUAAAGGGAGCGCAGGGGGCACGGCAAGCCUGAUGUGAAAGUCCGGGGCCGAACCGCGGGACUGCAGUGGGAACUACCGGGCUGGAGUGCCGGAGAGGUAGGCGGAAUUCGUAGUGUAGCGGUGAAAUGCGUAGAUAUUAGGAGGAACACCAGUGGCGAAGGUAGCCUACUGGACGGUGACUGACGCCGAGGCUCGAAAGCGUGGGGAGCGAACAGGAUUAGAUACCCCUGUAGUC
rnacentral:rRNA from 1 species